rnacentral:rRNA from 1 species
UACGUAGGUGACAAGCGUUGUCCGGAUUUACUGGGCGUAAAGGGCGCGUAGGCGGCGCGAACAAGUCACUUGUGAAAUCUCCGGGCUUAACCCGGAGCGGUCAAGUGAUACUGUCGUGCUAGAGUGCGGAAGGGGCUACUGGAAUUCUCGGUGUAGCGGUGAAAUGCGUAGAUAUCGAGAGGAACACCUGCGGCGAAGGCGGGCA